AAUGGGGGCAACCCUGAUCCAGCCAUGCCGUGUGAGUGAAGAAGGCCUUCGGGUUGUAAAGCUCUUUCGGCCGGGAAGAAAUCGCAUGGGUGAAUACCCUGUGUGGAUGACGGUACCGGAACAAGAAGCACCGGCUAACUACGUGCCAGCAGCCGCGGUAAUACGUAGGGUGCGAGCGUUAAUCGGAAUUACUGGGCGUAAAGCGUGCGCAGGCGGUUUGGUAAGACAGAUGUGAAAUCCCCGGGCUUAACCUGGGAACUGCGUUUGUGACUGGUGGGCUUGAGUGCGGCAGAGGGGGGUGGAAUUCCACGUGUAGCAGUGAAAUGCGUAGAGAUGUGGAGGAACACCGAUGGCGAAGGCAGCCCCCUGGGUCGACACUGACGCUCAUGCACGAAAGCGUGGGGAGCAAA
rnacentral:rRNA from 1 species